CGUUCGGCUUCCUUGCGACGUUCCUUCAGACAACACAGAAGGAAGAACCAACCAAUGCAAAAUGAAAACAUAAGAGGCUUGUGUCCUGACCAUACCACCCAAGAAAACAACACAAUGAGAAUGACUUCAUCAAUUUUCAAAAAAAGUCUACGUGCUAAUCAAAAAAAAUAAAUCCUUACUUGCUA